UGUGCCCAACAUCCUCGUCUCUGCGUUCCAUGGCACUCUUUGUCUGUCUUCAAGCGCCCCAGGCUGAGGAAGCCCCGCUGGGGCGUGACUGGGCUAGGAGGUGUCCCCAGAGGUCACGCUGUCUACACUCCCACUGGCUUUGCUUGGGACCACUGGGUCCUGCCUUGAGAGAGGCCAAGUGGUGUGCCCCCUGGGGCCUCAGUUUCCCGGCCACUGGGACCUCCAGGAGCCAUCGAGCGGGGAGGAGAGGGCCCUGCCGCCAGCCCUGGAGCCGUCAGCGCAGAGGGAGGAAGC